rnacentral:rRNA from 1 species
GAUCAUGGCUCAGGAUGAACGCUGGCGGCGUGCCUAACACAUGCAAGUCGAGCGAAGCACUUUGCUUAGAUUCUUCGGAUGAAGAGGAUUGUGACUGAGCGGCGGACGGGUGAGUAACGCGUGGGUAACCUGCCUCAUACAGGGGGGAUAACAGUUAGAAAUGACUGCUAAUACCGCAUAAGACCACAGCACCGCAUGGUNCGGGGGGUAAAAAACUCCGGUGGUAUGAGAUGGACCCG